rnacentral:rRNA from 1 species
GGUGUUCUUCCCGAUAUCUACACAUUCCACCGUUACACCGGGAAUUCCAGUCUCCCCUACCGCACUCCAGCCCGCCCGUACCCGGCGCAGAUCCACCGUUAAGCGAUGGACUUUCACACCGGACGCGACGAACCGCCUACGAGCCCUUUACGCCCAAUAAUUCCGGAUAACGCUUGCACCCUACGUAUUACCGCGGCUGCUGGCACGUAGUUAGCCGGUGCUUAUUCGAAAGGUACACUCACCCGAAGGCUUGCUCCCGAUCAAAAGCGGUUUACAACCCGAAGGCCGUCAUCCUGCACGCGGCGUCGCUGCAUCAGGCUUGCGCCCAUUGUGCAAUAUUCCCCACUGCUGCCUCCCGUAGGAGUCUGGGCCGUAUCUCAGUCCCAAUGUGGCCGGUCGCCCUCUCAGGCCGGCUACCCGUCGUAGGCUCGGUGGGCCGUUACCCCGCCGACUACCUGAUAGGACGCGACCCCAUCCCAUACCGAUGAAAUCUUUCCCGACACCCCAUGCGAGGAGUCGGAGCAUCCGGCAUUACCACCCGUUUCCAGGA